rnacentral:piRNA from 1 species
UGUGUGACACUGCUGCUCAUCUUU